AGCUGGUUGGCCGAGCGGUUAAGGCGUGGCACUCAAGUUGCCAUCGACGUAUGUCGGCGUAGGUUCGAUUCCUGCACCAGUCA
rfam:Sphaeroforma arctica JP610 cont1.1656, whole genome shotgun sequence.